CCACGUUUCGACAGGUCGCCGCUCGUGUCUGCCGUGUGGCGAGGACCGCGAAGCGAGCGGGGUGCUGCUCUCCAUCGACCACCCGGAGGGCGUGGUCAAGCUGGACCAGGAGGAGGUGAAGAUGCUGCAGAUGCGCUACCUGUGCAAGCUGCACGUCUGAGUGCCGCGCGGGCCGGGCGCCGCGCCUUCUCCGUCUCUCCCGGCCGGUGGCCGUCCGCGACCGGUCGGCGGCCGCGGCCGGGCUUACUACAUAUGUUCUGCGCGCGUGCGGCGGUGCUGGGAGCUGUCUGUGUCUGGGGCGGGCCGCCUCUGCUGCUGAGCUAUCCGCCAACGUCACUAUCCAAUACACACGACCUUAGA